GAAAGAGGCUAGUUUUUGUCCAAGAGAUUUGUUAUUGCUAAAGAAAUACUGCAAAGCUGGGUAAACUUCUUGUUUAUAUCAGAAAGAGGAGAUACAAUCCCUGAUUUUUCGUUGAAUCCAUCCUCGCAUGAUUGUGCGUCGGUCAUUGCAGCAGUAACCCACGUAUUAACGUCAUUGUAAGAUUUAAAAUCCAAGGCAACCAUGGAAUCCUCAAGCUGAUCAGUUGCAUCUGUGUAGAUCUCAGAGCAAUCUGUCAGGCAUUGCUUAAUGAAUUCAUCUGAACUUGUGUUGAACAAUAAGGAAAUUCGCUUGUGUAUUUCAACUGCAUUUAAUGAUGUCAUCUUUAGUGCAAACUUGGCCAGGCUUUGCACAUCAGUUACCUCACUUUCUGGGGCUGAUGCUAGAGCAGAAUUGCAUAGGUCUUUGUACAA
rnacentral:misc_RNA from 1 species